rnacentral:misc_RNA from 1 species
GUCGUAGAAAGGUGCCGGCAAUUGACCCCGGAUACUCGUUCGUCAGCAUGUACGUGUCCUAUUCCGACCUCCGGGGCUGGGUGACAAUUGCUGGAACGCGGCCGACGUCGAUUUGAGCUAAUGCCCAACCCUCAUCAUCUCAAAUACGAGUCUUAUUCUAAGCCGAAAGCAACCCACUUUCAGCUAAGAAUAAUUUGGCUACUGAGCAUUGUCACCCAACCCCUCCAGUCUAAAGUGUGCGAGGGAUCACGGGUUGAAUUUAAGCAUUGCCUAGUCAACGGAUUAAUGCGGUUUGGGCAUCAGUCCGUUGGCGUAGCAAGCACAGGAUUCAGCGUCACCGCGCGCGUUUCGUUAAGCCGCUCGAAUGGCUGAUUAACGGCCACUUAACUUGGUGUAAUUGGUCUUUUAAUACCGGAGCUUCAAAUAAAGCGUCAGGUGUAAAUCUCUAUGUUUAUCGAGAAGUUCAAUUAUUGCUACAUUGGUUCAGAAAUAGUGAACCAUAACAAUAUCAUUUUCUGUCUGACCGUUGCUUGACAAAGUUAUCGUUUAUAAAAAGUAAUGACAAGUCCAUCACAAGUUAGGUACAUCUUCGUCCGCCAUUCGAAUACUGUCCCGACUGGAAGGCAUUUCGGCCAAUGCUCAGCGGUGAAAUUCCACUUAGCAAGCGUUCUUUGCUUGGUUAGUGGAAGACCAGUAUUUAAGACGUGGUCUUCGGCUUAAAUCUGUGUCCACCGCGUUCCAGCAAUUGGCAGAAAUGCCUGGAAGUCGGCUUAAGACGACGCUAGCCAAGCAAGUUUAUGCAAAACUCGAACUUUUUCCAGCGGGCCUUAGCUGGUUGUUUUUGGCCUUAUAGCGGCACCUUUCAACAAUUUUUCG